AUUGAACGCUGGCGGCAGGCCUAACACAUGCAAGUCGAACGAGAGGCGGACGGAUGAGUAAUGUCUGGGAAACUGACUGAUGGAGGGGGAUCACUACUGGAAACUGUAGCUAAUACCGCAUACCAUCGGAGGUGCCCAGAUGGGAUUAGCUAGUAGGUGGGGUAAAGGUGCACCUAGGCGACGAUCCCUAGCUGGUCUGAGAGGAUGACCAGCCACACUUGAACUGAGACACGGUCCAGACUCCGACGGGAGGCAGCAGUGGGGAAUAUUGCACGAUGGGCGCAAGCCUGAUGCAGCCAUGCCGCGUGUAUGAAGAAGGCCUUCGGGUUGUAAAGUACUUUCAGCGGUGAGGCGUUACCCGCAGAAGAAGCACCGGCUAACUCCGUGCCAGCAGCCGCGGUAAUAC
rnacentral:rRNA from 1 species